rnacentral:rRNA from 1 species
GACGAACGCUGGCGGCGUGCUUAACACAUGCAAGUCGAACGAAGUGGCGAACGGGUGAGUAACGCGUAAUCAACCUGCCCUUCAGAGGGGGACAACAGUUGGAAACGACUGCUAAUACCGCAUAAUGAAGGAGGGGAUUGCGUCUGAUUAGCUAGUUGGGGGGGUAACGGCCCACCAUGGCGAUGAUCAGUAGCCGGGCUGGAAGGAUGAACGGGCACAUUGGGACUGAGACACGGCCCAGACUGCUACGGGGGGCAGCAGUGGGGAAUCUUCCGCAAAGGACGAAAGUCUGACGGAGCAACGCCGCGGGAGUGAUGAGGGCCUUCGGGUUGUAAAGCUCUGUUAAUCGGGACGCGGUACCGGAAGAGAAAGCCACGGCUAACUACGUGCCAGCCGCCGCGGUAAUUC